CUUUGACACUGUUUUCCUCACAGUAGGACAACUACAGCUACCCGUGAAGACUGCGAAGUGCAUGCACUCUGGUGAAUGGUAAAACAUCAAGAAGAAUAUGCACCGCCCCAUACUGAGAACACCCUGUCUCUUUUCUAAGCUUUGGCUGUUGUCUCUGUUUCAACAAGAAAAGGGCCUUCGGACAGGUGUGGAAGGCUGACUGAUCAGAGGCCCUUAACCUUUCAUGCCUCGCCGCUGACCGCACUGUCCAGAUGGGUGGCCCUUUAAACCAGGCGACAGCAAUCAAGCUAAAACCUUCAGAGCCUCGCUUGCCCAUGGUACCAUGGUAACGUGUCCGAACAGAUUAAAACAAUAAUGUCAACUCGAAUAACAUAAUGAUCCGCAAUCAACCCACCAGGAAGCCAUUGAUUCUCUUGCAAGUGCUCAUCACCAUAACAACAGUAAUUCAUGCUCUCUAAAUUGUGAGUACAUUUAUCUGGCCCUGCCUGUGCUUUGAUAACAGGAUGAGCCUCUGUACCUUUCCAAAGCUCAGCUGUGUGCUGUGUCCUUAUUUCUGUCCUUCUUGACUAUUGGCCGUACAGAAGCGUUGAGAAGUGUGGUCCUGAAUCGCAAAUUUCUUAUCGCAUGGACAAGAUCAUCACGUCAGACAAAAAGUUAUUACUUAAUACAAAAUCAUUCUGGGAAGUGUAAUUGUAAUAGAUGUGAGAAUGGAAUUGCAAUGUACUCACUUCCAUAUAGAAGAACAAAAUAUUUGAUGAACAUUGAUCUGCAUUUCAACAUAGUUAUACUCUCAUGUUUGCCCAUGCUUUAUAGACACAAACAUUAUUUGAUAUUGAAAAUAUCAAUAUGAGCAUCAAAAGUAAGUCCAAUGUGGUAACAGACA